UGUCUCCUCCACCCUCCUAAAGGUUGGAUUUAGCCCGCAACUGCAAGGUUCGCGGGCUUUUUUAU
rnacentral:ncRNA from 1 species